rfam:Archaeoglobus profundus DSM 5631, complete genome.
GGGCCCGUGGUCUAGGGGUUAUGACGCCUGCCUCACACGCAGGAGGUCCCCGGUUCGAAUCCGGGCGGGCCCA